UACGUAGGGGGCGAGCGUUGUCCGGAGUUACUGGGCGUAAAGGGCGUGCAGGCGGUGCGGUAAGUUUAGCGUGACAGUCUCCGGCUUAACUGGAGAAGGCCGCUGAAAACUGCUGGACUUGAGGGCCAGAGAGGGACAUAGAAUUCCGGGUGGAGUGGUGAAAUGCGUAGAUAUCCGGAGGAAUACCAAAGGCAAAGGCAGUGUCCUGGCUGGCAACUGACGCUGAGGCGCGAAAGCUAGGGGAGCGAACAGG
rnacentral:rRNA from 1 species